CCCUGCCAUUUGUACACACCGCCCGUCGCUACUACCGAUUGAAUGGCUCAGUGAGGCUUCCGGACUGGCCCAGAGGAGUCGGCAACGACACCUCAGGGCCGGAAAGCUAUCCAAACUCGGUCAUUUAG
rnacentral:rRNA from 1 species